UACGAGGGGGGCGAGCGUUGUUCGGAAUUAUUGGGCGUAAAGGGUGCGUAGGCGGUUUGGUAAGUCUUAUGUGAAAUCUAUGGGCUCAACUCAUAGUCUGCAUGAGAAACUGCCGGGCUUGUGUAUGGGAGAGGUGAGUGGAAUUCCUGGUGUAGCGGUGAAAUGCGUAGAUAUCAGGAGGAACACCUGUGGCGAAAGCGGCUCACUGGACCAUAACUGACGCUGAUGCACGAAAGCUAGGGGAGCAAACAGG
rnacentral:rRNA from 1 species